rnacentral:rRNA from 1 species
AACUUUCAGCAACGGAUCUCUUGGUUCUCGCAUCGAUGAAGAACGCAGCGAAAUGCGAUACGUAAUGUGAAUUGCAGAAUUUUGUGAAUCAUCGAAUCUUUGAACGCACAUUGCACCUUUUGGUAUUCCAGAAGGUAUGCCUGUUUGAGCGUCAUUU